rnacentral:rRNA from 1 species
ACUACGGGGGGCUGCAGUGGGGAAUAUUGCACAAUGGGCGCAAGCCUGAUGCAGCCAUGCCGCGUGUGUGAAGAAGGCCUUCGGGUUGUAAAGCACUUUCAGCGGGGAGGAAGGCGGUGAGGUUAAUAACCUCAUCGAUUGACGUUACCCGCAGAGGAAGCACCGGCUAACUCCGUGCCAGCAGCCGCGGUAAUACGGAGGGUGCAAGCGUUAAUCGGAAUUACUGGGCGUAAAGCGCACGCAGGCGGUCUGUCAAGUCGGAUGUGAAAUCCCCGGGCUCAACCUGGGAACUGCAUUCGAAACUGGCAGGCUAGAGUCUUGUAGAGGGGGGUAGAAUUCCAGGUGUAGCGGUGAAAUGCGUAGAGAUCUGGAGGAAUACCGGUGGCGAAGGCGGCCCCCUGGACAAAGACUGACGCUCAGGUGCGAAAGCGUGGGGAGCAAACAGGAUUAGAUACCCGUGUAGUC